CACUAUCGUUAACUGAAUACAUAGGUUAACGAGGCGAACCGGGGGAACUGAAACAUCUAAGUACCCCGAGGAAAAGAAAUCAACCGAGAUUCCCCCAGUAGCGGCGAGCGAACGGGGAGCAGCCCAGAGUCUGAAUCAGCUUGUGUGUUAGUGGAACGGUCUGGAAAGUCCGACGGUACAGGGUGAUAGUCCCGUACACCAAAAUGCACAGGUUGUGAACUCGAAGAGUAGGGCGGGACACGUGGUAUCCUGUCUGAAUAUGGGGGGACCAUCCUCCAAGGCUAAAUACUCCUGACUGACCGAUAGUGAACCAGUACCGUGAGGGAAAGGCGAAAAGAACCCCGGCGAGGGGAGUGAAAAAGAACCUGAAACCGUGUACGUACAAGCAGUGGGAGCACCUUCGGGUGUGACUGCGUACCUUUUGUAUAAUGGGUCAGCGACUUAUAUUCUGUAGCAAGGUUAACCGUAUAGGGGAGCCGCAGGGAAACCGAGUCUUAACUGGGCGUUAAGUUGCAGGGUAUAGACCCGAAACCCGGUGAUCUAGCCAUGGGCAGGUUGAAGGUUGGGUAACACUAACUGGAGGACCGAACCGACUAAUGUUGAAAAAUUAGCGGAUGACUUGUGGCUGGGGGUGAAAGGCCAAUCAAACCGGGAGAUAGCUGGUUCUCCCCGAAAGCUAUUUAGGUAGCGCCUCGUGAACUCAUCUUCGGGGGUAGAGCACUGUUUCGGCUAGGGGGUCAUCCCGACUUACCAACCCGAUGCAAACUACGAAUACCGAAGAAUGUUAUCACGGGAGACACACGGCGGGUGCUAACGUCCGUCGUGAAGAGGGAAACAACCCAGACCGCCAGCUAAGGUCCCAAAGUCAUGGUUAAGUGGGAAACGAUGUGGGAAGGCACAGACAGCCAGGAUGUUGGCUUAGAAGCAGCCAUCAUUUAAAGAAAGCGUAAUAGCUCACUGGUCGAGUCGGCCUGCGCGGAAGAUGUAACGGGGCUAAACCAUGCACCGAAGCUGCGGCAGCGACACGAUGUGUUGUUGGGUAGGGGAGCGUUCUGUAAGCCUGCGAAGGUGACCUGUGAGGGUUGCUGGAGGUAUCAGAAGUGCGAAUGCUGACAUAAGUAACGAUAAAGCGGGUGAAAAGCCCGCUCGCCGGAAGACCAAGGGUUCCUGUCCAACGUUAAUCGGGGCAGGGUGAGUCGACCCCUAAGGCGAGGCCGAAAGGCGUAGUCGAUGGGAAACAGGUUAAUAUUCCUGUACUUGGUGUUACUGCGAAGGGGGGACGGAGAAGGCUAUGUUAGCCGGGCGACGGUUGUCCCGGUUUAAGCAUGUAGGCUGGUUAUCCAGGCAAAUCCGGAUAAUCAAGGCUGAGGUGUGAUGACGAGG
rnacentral:rRNA from 1 species